CACACACCAAAGUCUUACCGUAUCAAGAAUGGCUGUACACAUGGAAUAGUUGCCCUUCAACGCCCAAGUCCCGUUUUCAAGACACUUCCUGUAAACAUUAUCUGCAAGAGAAGACAGGGCCAGGGGGGCAGACACAAGCCACAAAAGUCCCAUUACUCCACCAACGACCCCAAGUCCUGCUACGUCUUCUUCUACACUGCUCUACGCCGCCUCUUCAUGUAGCCAAGCUACAAGCUGAGACAGUACAACACACAUCUUUGCAUGUUCACCUACAACCAUGCUUAGGCAAGACCACAGGGUUCCUGCAAUCAGCAGUGGGAGCACGUUGAGCAGUGACAGCCAGUUACUGGCUGCUCCCCUCACUACAGCACUCUGCACUGAUGCAUGGACAGGCCUGACACUCUUCCUAAGAUGGGUCAUCUCCACGGGUCGCUGGGAAUGUUUUCUAGCAACGCGGCCAGCUGAGCUUAAGCAGUGGCCAGGAGUCCAGUGGUGUUUGACUGAGGAAAAGGCACAAAUACAACUAAACACAAUUGAAUACAACUGUUCUAUCCGAUUAUGAUUCUGUUUAUUUUUAUAUUCCAAUCUAUUUCCAUCAUUUCAUUUACAUACUAUUUAUAUUCUACUCCAUUUUAUUCCAAUGCUGCUCCUUUUCAUUUCUAUUUUAAAAUUCCAUUAUAAUACAAUUCAGUUCAAAUGAACUGUACUGUACUGUUUUCUACUCUACCUCCAAUGAAUAUACUGGCAAAUCCUUUAAUAAACGGAUGUUACAGUGGAUACGUUUGUCCAUGUUCCUAUCAUAGGGUUAGCGCCCAGAUUAAACCAAAUGUUCAUGAAAUGUGUUUUAGAUCAUAAAGUAAGAAAAAAAAUGUUUUAUUCCGUUCAUUUUCCGAAAAAAAGAAAGAAAAAAACCUUAAUAUGUGAAGACAUUUAAGACCCAAAGGUUAGGAACAAAAGGUUAACAUAAAAAAGUCUGAAUCUGAAGAAGAAAAACAAAUGACUGUAUAGUCUGGCAGUGUAAUAACACAGUCAAUAUCUUUCAAAUGUGGCUGAAUAAAAGAGCUUCAAUACAUCAAUACACACAGAUGGCUCAGGUGCCGUCCCCAUCAUGAAAAUCCUUAUCAUCUGCUAAUCAUUAAAGCCUGGAACUCAACGUCUGGUGUUUAUCACAGCAGGAGAAACUACCAGCCAAUCAAGGGCCUGACAGCACGGUCAUCAUCACACUCAGCACCACCAUAAUCAUUAGCACUGUUGAGUGAGUCAGUAAGUACUAAGACAGGUUUUAUCACUUCAAAUACAGUUAUUAUUUUUAUUUCUUUAAAUUCUUUGAAAAAUGGCAAUAUUUCUUUCAUUAUAUCAACAAAAUAGUAUCAGAAAAUGAGCGUCUGAUGAAAAAUCAGUUUGUACCUCUUAACCUUCUAAUUAGGUUUGAAAUGUCUUCAGAAUUAUGAUAAUUUAUGAGGAAAACUUCUGUCAUCAUAACUGUUUUUUCACCCUAAUCUGAGUCUAAGACUUAGAAUAAAAGGGCUGUAAAUAUUCCAUAAAACAUGAAAAAAGUAAACUCCAAUAAAGGUCAGCAUGGACUAAAAAAAUGUGAGUGUGUUUACCUUGUUAAAUUUGAAAAAGCAGCAUCCAACACCACUU